UACGGAGGGUGCGAGCGUUGUUCGGAAUCACUGGGCGUAAAGGGCGUGUAGGCGGCCCGCUAAGUCUGAUGUGAAAGCCCGGGGCUCACCCCCGGAAGUGCAUUGGAAACUGGCGGACUCGAGUCCCGGAGAGGAGAGUGGAAUUCCUGGUGUAGCGGUGAAAUGCGCAGAUAUCAGGAGGAACACCGGUGGCGAAGGCGGGAUCCUGGGCCAGUACUGACGCUGAGGAGCGAAAGCGUGGGGAGCGAACAGG
rnacentral:rRNA from 1 species